rnacentral:lncRNA from 1 species
CUUUUUUAACUGGGUGAGGUUGCCUCUUGGGACCCCCAGUUGAUAGAUGAGAAGCACCUGACUUUGAAAAGGAACCGAACUCAAGCAGGCUGCAUCCUAAGCCCGUCUCAAGCAGACUGCAGAAGCCUUUUCCCCUUAACCUUAAAAUAGACUCCACAUCCCUCCCUCUCCGACUGUAAACCCUUUCCACAUUAUCUAACUGUGUGCUUACUUAGAAGUUACAGGGGUUAACCUUGAGACAGAUCAAACCUGGAGACCCAGCUGCAAAAUUUCAAAUAUCACCUUAAAGCCGUUCGUCCACAACCUGGUC